UAAUGGCCCGCGGCGUUCGGGUCGGCCUCCUCGGUCGCGGGGGGCUGUGGUUGGCCGGCGUGGUGGCCGUUCUGCUACGUCUGCCCGUGGUGUCCGCUCAAGCCGUAUGUAUGGAGCAUGCUCCGCCGUCUGAUGAUCGGCCGUUGUGUUGGGGUGGCCGCUCUGUACAGCCUUCCGAUUCUGGAUGAGCGGCAGAUUUUGUGGCGCGAUCUGGGUCUUGUUCUCUGUCAUCGGACUCUGCUGUUGGUGGUUCUUGUGGGUAGCGGAGGGAGGAGAUUCGGUUGGGAAAGCGGGCCUGUUGAUCCUACUCUCAAUCGACAACGAACAACAGAGAAGCGAACCGGCGAAGCAAGCAGCACAUCGGGGGGAGGUGGUCACUUGCAAGUCAACCGCGCGACGGGUGAGCAGAGCGGCUCGCAACCGCGCCAAGGAAAAAGGAGGGGGCCGGAAGAUGGGGGGACGAGGCGCUCUGCUACAUCCGCGGCCAGAGAUCACGAGGGAGCAGGAGCAAAUCGGUGAUGGAAAUCAUGAGCACGGAAACGCAAAUCACACGGCCAAGCAAAACACACGAGGAUGGCUAGCUGCUACCAUCCACGGGAUGAGAGCAAUGGGUUUGAGAGAUGCAGCAUACUCAAGGCCGAGAAGGGAUUUUCACGAAAGGCGUAAAUGUUCAUUUUAAUCCAUGUUUUGCAUCAGGGUCUUCAGAAUGUAGGCAAGAUUUUAGAGAAGUUGUUUUUGUAGGCAACACAAGGAGAUAUAAGUAGGCAAAAAUCCCACAGAAUAAUUCAGCAUCUGUGUGUUUCAGUAGGUGCAAUAUGAUUUUUGCAUUUUGAUUUAUGUUCAAUAGAAAAAAAUUGUUGAUUGUUGUUGGAUGGUACUUUGAUAUGUGUGGUGCGUUCUAUUUUUGCAGGUGUUCCUUUUUGCGAGCCGGAUAGGGCUCCAGGUUGUACACUGUGCGUGCUUCCUGUUAGAAGAUACCGGCUCUAUUAUUUGGGAUUCACUAGCUAAAAUUGUUGGCGACUAUAUUUAGACUAGACUUUAGCUAGCCCUUCAUCUAUUGAGUGUAGGAGCGGUGAAUCAAAGCAAGUUAAUUAGUCUACUCUAGAUGUGCGAAAGAAACAUAAUGACUUUGUGAAGCAGAAAUAUGCACUUCAAAGUGAAAGGAGGAUCAAUCCCUAUUCAUAUACUUCAGAGUCGUUCCGUGAUUGUAUUUUCUGCGUAUUAUAUGGCCGUGGUGCGCAAUAUUGAAUUUUGCUCCCUGUUUGCAAAUGCUCUUUAGGAGGCCGAACUAAUUAAGCAAGGAAUUGCAUUGGUAAUGUUUUCCCCUACCCCAAACAUGAUUAGUUCAGCAACAGCUCUUUUUGUUUACUUGAUAUAUAUGGUGCAAUUUCCAAAAGGUUUUUUAACCCGCAAUUAUUUUCAUUUAUAGAUGAUGAUUUCUUUAGAAGGGUUCCUAACUGAAUGUUGUACCCUCAACCGUGGCAAGCAAAAUUUUCAUGCAAUCAGCAUCACAAACAUUCAGUGGUAGUUAAUAGUCUAUAUCCUUGGUCACUCUCCAAACUUUACUAUUUCUCUCAAGA